UACGUAUGGUGCAAGCGUUGCUCGGAAUCACUGGGCGUAAAGGGUGCGUAGGCGGGUAUGUAAGUCUGUUGUGAAAUACCGCAGCUUAACUGCGGUGCUGCGACGGAAACUGCAUAUCUGGAGUCCCGGAGAGGCAGACGGAAUUCCCGGUGUAGCGGUGAAAUGCGCAGAUAUCGGGAGGAACACCGAUGGCGAAGGCAGUCUGCUGGACGGAGACUGACGCUGAGGCACGAAAGCGUGGGGAGCAAACAGG
rnacentral:rRNA from 1 species